rnacentral:rRNA from 1 species
ACGCUGGCGGCACGCCUAACACAUGCAAGUCGAACGAAGUAGCAAUACUUAGUGGCAGACGGGUGAGUAACAUGUGGGUAUCUGCCCUUUGGCCUGGAAUAACACGAGGAAACUUGUGCUAAUACCGGAUAAGUCUUUACGGAGAAAGCUUUAUGCACCAUUGGAUGAGCCCGCACUUGAUUAGUUUGUUGGUGGGGUAAUGGCCUACCAAGACUGUGAUCAAUAGCUGAUUUGAGAGGAUGAUCAGCCACAUUGGGACUGAGACACGGCCCAAACUCCUACGGGAGGCAGCAGUGGGGAAUCUUGCACAAUGGAGGAAACUCUGAUGCAGCGAUGCCGCGUGAGUGAAGAAGGCCCUUGGGUUGUAAAGCUCUUUCGUCGGGGAAGAAAAUGACUGUACCCGAAUAAGAAGGUCCGGCUAACUUCGUGCCAGCAGCCGCGGUAAUACGAAGGGACCUAGCGUAGUUCGGAAUUACUGGGCUUAAAGAGUUCGUAGGUGGUUGAAAAAGUUAGUGGUGAAAUCCCAGAGCUUAACUCUGGAACUGCCAUUAAAACUUUUCAGCUAGAGUAUGAUAGAGGAAAGUAGAAUUUCUAGUGUAGAGGUGAAAUUCGUAGAUAUUAGAAAGAAUACCAAUUACGAAGGCAGCUUUCUGGAUCAUUACUGACACUGAGGAACGAAAGCAUGGGUAGCGAAGAGGAUUAGAUACCCUCGUAGUCCAUGCCGUAAACGAUGUGUGUUAGACGUUGGAAAAUUAUUUUCAGUGUCGCAGCGAAAGCGAUAAACACACCGCCUGGGGAGUACGACCGCAAGGUUAAAACUCAAAUGAAUUGACGGGGACCCGCACAAGUAGUGGAGCAUGUGGUUUAAUUCGAAGAUACGCGCAGAACCUUACCAACACUUGACAUGUUCGUCGCGACUCUAAGAGAUUAGAGUUUUCGGUUCGGCCGGACGAAACACAGGUGCUGCAUGGCUGUCGUCAGCUCGUGUCGUGAGAUGUUGGGUUAAGUCCCGCAACGAGCGCAACCCUCACUUUUAGUUGCCAUCAUUUAGUUGGGCACUCUGAAAGAACUGCCAGUGAUAAGCUGGAGGAAGGUGGGGAUGACGUCAAGUCCUCAUGGCCCUUACGUGUUGGGCUACACACGUGCUACAAUGGUAUCUACAACAGGAAGCAAAACGGCGACGUUAAGCAAAUCCUUAAAAGAUACCUCAGUUCGGAUUGCACUCUGCAACUCGAGUGCAUGAAGCUGGAAUUACUAGUAAUCGUGGAUCAGCGUGCCACGGUGAAUGCGUUCCCGGGUCUUGUACACACCGCCCGUCACACCAUGGGAGUUGGUUCUACCUUAAGGCAAGGUUUAAAACCCUUGACCACGGUAUAGUCAGCGACUGGGGUG